UACGUAGGGGCCUAGCGUUGUCCGGAUUUAUUGGGCGUAAAGAGCUCGUAGGCGGCCUGUUGCGUCCGCUGUGAAAGCCCGGGGCUUAACCCCGGGUCGGCAGUGGAUACGGGCAGGCUAGAGGUAGGUAGGGGAGAAUGGAAUUCCCGGUGUAGCGGUGAAAUGCGCAGAUAUCAGGAGGAACACCCGUAGCGAAGGCGGCACUCUGGGCCGAUACUGACACUGAGGAGCGAAAGCGUGGGGAGCGAACAGG
rnacentral:rRNA from 1 species